rnacentral:rRNA from 1 species
UGGGGAAUAUUGGGCAAUGGACGCAAGUCUGACCCAGCGACGCCGCGUGCGGGAUGAAGGCCUUCGGGUUGUAAACCGCUUUCAGCAGGGAAGAAGCGAAAGUGACGGUACCUGCAAAAGAAGCACCGGCUAACUAUGUGCCAGCAGCCGCGGUAAUACAUAGGUGGCAAGCGUUAUCCGGAAUUAUUGGGCGUAAAGAGUUCGUAGGCCUUUUGUUAGGUCCUUGAUUAAAUAUAUAAGCUUAACUUAUAUUAGGUUGAGGAAACCAGCAGAAUAGAAGGGUAUCGAGGUAGGUGGAAUUUGUGGUGUAGCAGUGAAAUGCGUUGGUAUCACAAGGAACACCAAUGGCGAAGGCAGCCUACUAGAUACCACUUGACGCUGAGGAACGAAAGCGUGGGUAACAAACGGG